CGCCUCUAGCAAAACUAGUAUUAGAGGUACUGCCUGCCCAGUGAUAAAUUUAACGGCCGCGGUAUUUUGACCGUGCAAAGGUAGCAUAAUCACUUGUCUUCUAAAUAAAGACUAGUAUGAACGGCAAGACGAGGGUUUAACUGUCUCCCUUGUCUACUCAAUGAAAUUGAUCUCCCAGUACAAAAGCUGUGAUUCACCAACAAGACGAGAAGACCCUAUGGAGCUUUAAACAUACUAAAAAUUGUAAAAAGAUUUAUAAAUCUAAUACACUGAUUUUACACUGUUUUUGGUUGGGGCGACCACGGAGAAUACCCACCCUCCGAGAUGACAUAUCAGGAGACAAUCCAAAACUUCAGAAAACUGACAUAAUUGACCCAAAAACUUUGAUCAACGAACCAAGUUACCCUAGGGAUAACAGCGCAAUCCUCUUCAAGAGCCCAUAUCGACAAGAGGGCUUACGACCUCGAUGUUGGAUCAGGAUAACCUGACAGUGCAACCGCCGUCAAAGGUUUGUUUGUUCAACAAUUAAAAUCCU
rnacentral:rRNA from 2 species